GACGAACGCUGGCGGCGUGCUUAACACAUGCAAGUCGAACGGAAAGGCCCUGCUUUUGUGGGGUGCUCGAGUGGCGAACGGGUGAGUAACACGUGAGUAACCUGCCCUUGACUUUGGGAUAACUUCAGGAAACUGGGGCUAAUACCGGAUAGGAGCUCCUGCUGCAUGGUGGGGGUUGGAAAGUUUCGGCGGUUGGGGAUGGACUCGCGGCUUAUCAGCUUGUUGGUGGGGUAGUGGCUUACCAAGGCUUUGACGGGUAGCCGGCCGGGGGGGGUGACCGGCCACAUGGGGACGGGGACACGGCCCAGACCCCUCCGGGGGGGAGCGGUGGGGAAUUUUCCACAAGGGGCGGAGGCCGGCUGCAGCAACGCCGGGUGCGGGAGGACGGCCUUCGGGUUGUAAACCGCUUUCCCCUUUAACGAAGGUUGGGUGACGGUAAUGGGUAAAGAAGCACCGGCUAACUACGU
rnacentral:rRNA from 1 species